GGUAGCUUGGCCAAGCGGUCUAAGGCGCCGGAUUAAGGUUCUGGUCCGAAAGGGCGUGAGUUCAAAUACCACAGCUGCCA
rnacentral:tRNA from 1 species